GUAACAACUUCAUAGUUUAGCUGGUUAGAGCAUUGUGCUGAUAAUGCCAAGGUUGCAAGUUCAAUCCCUGUAUGCGACA